GUCCUUUAUUUUCCAAUCUAUUUCUUCCAUCCAUCUUCAUUUAAAUCCCUUCAAUUUUUGCUCUGUUCUAUCCCCUGCACUUUUAUUUUACUUUAUUUUGUUUAUUCUCUUUCUUCUAUAGUUUCUUUGCUGAGGUUUCCAACACCUGUAGUCUUUUGAUUUUAAUAGGUUUCAUCCAAUAAUAUUGAGGUGAAUCUAUGGUCCUAUACUUCCAGCAUGAACUCAUACUCUAAGGUACCUCCUGCCUCAUCUGUGGAAGAACGUGUGGUUCCCACAUUGGCCUAGUCAAUCACCUCAGAAUUCCACAGAGGAAGGGUGGAAGCAAGUCAUCCUCGAUCCUGAGGGACUGCUGAAGAAGAAGGAGAAGAAGUUGGGCCAACAGGACUCAGGAAACAGAGCAGAGUUUUGAAAUGAGGUCAACUUUACAGAGGGUGGAAGACGAGUUGAGAGCCAGGAGAGCACUGGAAUAGGUGA